AUUAACCUCACAUCUGGCGUGCUAAUUCUGAGAUGAACUUCCACAGGAUCACAGAAUAAGAGACUACUUCAAUGGUUCUGUUAAAUGAUGCGACUCAUGUGGGCCUUAAACAUCCUACAGAAAAACUGUGUUCCUUCUUGGUUCUGUGCCACAGUGGUGAAGAGAGGGCAAGAUGGAUAAACUGGCAAAGAGACUUGGCUAAAAUAUCGUUGCACCUGAGCUGCUGCCUGAUUUGGAGAGCUGGCCCCAUCUUGCCAGCCCGUGGCUGGUACAACUUGCUCUUCAGAGGGAUGCGUGCGAUAACCCUUCACUGCUGUGGCUGGCUGGAAGUUGGUUCAGUUCCCUCUGCAACCCCAGGGCAAUGAGGAGAGAAGCUGCACAGAACUGAGGGAAAUGAGGCGUGCGGAUGAGAAUAAAACAUGGGCAAGCGAGAAGGUCUUUGCUCA
rnacentral:lncRNA from 1 species